GGGAAUCUACCUUUUGCUACGGAAUAACUCAGGGAAACUUGUGCUAAUACCGUAUGUGUCCUUCGGGAGAAAGAUUUAUCGGCAAGAGAUGAGCCCGCGUUGGAUUAGCUAGUUGGUGGGGUAAAGGCCUACCAAGGCGACGAUCCAUAGCUGGUCUGAGAGGAUGAUCAGCCACACUGGGACUGAGACACGGCCCAGACUCCUACGGGAGGCAGCAGUGGGGAAUAUUGGACAAUGGGCGCAAGCCUGAUCCAGCCAUGCCGCGUGAGUGAUGACGGUCUUAGGAUUGUAAAGCUCUUUCACCGGUGAAGAUAAUGACGGUAACCGGAGAAGAAGCCCCGGCUAACUUCGUGCCAGCAGCCGCGGUAAUACGAAGGGGGCUAGCGUUGUUCGGAUUUACUGGGCGUAAAGCGCACGUAGGCGGACUUUUAAGUCAGGGGUGAAAUCCCAGAGCUCAACUCUGGAACUGCCUUUGAUACUGGAAGUCUUGAGUAUGGUAGAGGUGAGUGGAAUUCCGAGU
rnacentral:rRNA from 1 species